rnacentral:rRNA from 1 species
GAUGAACGCUGGUGGCGUGCCUAACACAUGCAAGUCGAGCGAUUCUCUUCGGAGAAGAGCGGCGGACGGGUGCGUAACGCGUGGGUAACCUGCCCUGUACACACGGAUAACAUACCGAAAGGUAUGCUAAUACGAGAUAACAUGCUUUUAUCGCAUGGUAGAAGUAUCAAAGCUUUUGCGGUACAGGAUGGACCCGCGUCUGAUUAGCUAGUUGGUGAGGUAACGGCUCACCAAGGCGACGAUCAGUAGCCGACCUGAGAGGGUGAUCGGCCACAUUGGAACUGAGACACGGUCCAAACUCCUACGGGAAGCAGCAGUGGGGAAUAUUGCACAAUGGGCGAAAGCCUGAUGCAGCAACGCCGCGUGAGCGAUGAAGGCCUUCGGGUCGUAAAGCUCUGUCCUCAAGGAAGAUAAUGACGGUACUUGAGGAGGAAGCCCCGGCUAACUACGCG